rnacentral:misc_RNA from 1 species
AAAUUAUAUAUAUACACGCCAGAAUAAUUGAUUUAUAAGUGUAAAAAGCGGAUUAAAAUCACUUAUAAAGUUUUCAAUCACGAAACUAAUUCACUACGUAAUUAAAUAAAUGAAAAACUCACUUUUGUACGCUUAAUAUACAGAAAACACCUUACUUAAAAAAUACUUUAAAAUGCCGGAAAAAUUAUUAAAUCACUCAUUUAGUUGAUUAAUUAGAAAAUAUGGAGUUGGAUUAAUUUUUAAAUAAAUUAAAUUAAGAAAAAAUAAUGGCACGAUUAAUAAUAAUAUAGAGUAAGUGCAUUAAUUGCAGGUGUCCUUGCCAAUCUGGAUUUGGUACUCGAAUUCAGAGAGGAUGUGAUACAAACCUUUAAUGAAGCAAUUACCCAUUCGCCUGUGUUAUGCCAGAGUUAAAAGGUUGCUCUAUUGCACUUUCCAUUAUUUUUUUGUUCCCUUUCAUUGAUUUUUACCUUCAUGGAUCCAUCUUUAGUUUCUUCCCUCUUAUUGAUGUUUAGUCUAUGUGCGGGUGGACAUAUCAUGAAUGAAGUGGAAAGGCUGAGACUUCAAUAUCCAGAAAAUGAAUUGCUGUUACAGAAAUUACAGAAUGAGACUUAUGAAAUUAUUAAUCCCAUUCAGAUGAAACAGCAUCUCAAACUUGGAAUAUCCACAAAAUAUACCUCACACAAUACUUCCGAGAAACAUUAUCAACAAACUACCUUGCUGAUAAAAGCGUUUAAUUACGACUUUCGCCUGGAAUUAGAAAUAAACAAAUACCUACUCUCCCCGAAUUUAAUUUAUAAAACAUACUUACCGGAUGGAGUAGUGCAUUCAUCACAGUCUAUAGAAAAUUGCUAUUAUCAUGCAACUAUAAAAGAUUAUCCGGAUGCCGUAGCUGCUUUAAGAACCUGCGAUGGGAUCAGCGGUAUCAUCUACUUGCAAAAUGAUACUCUAGCCAUUCAUCCAUUUUAUGGAGGUGAUCUUUCGAUCAGACAUCCUCAUGUUAUAUAUCAUUUGCCACCUGAUACAGACACAGUCAAACUAUGCGAUAUCAAUGGAGUUGAAGAAGUGAAUACAAACGAUACAGACGAAGGAAAUCUAACUGAGACUGCCAGAACUCGAAGAAAUAUUCAAGAAUUAAUUAAAUAUAUCGAAGUGGGUAUAGUCAUCGAUAAAAUUACGUUUAACAUGAAAAAUGGCAUACAUUCUGCAGUAAUCGGUGAUAUUAUUCAAUCGGUAAAUUACGUCGAUCUGUUUUAUAAAAAAAUGAAUACUCGGCUGUCGAUAGUAUAUGUUGAAACUUGGAACGAUAAUGAUUACGUAGACACGGAAAGCCCUCUUCAGAGCAUAAUGAAUAAUUUUAUUAAUUAUGCAACUGAUAAAUUAUCAACAAUCAAUAGAGAUGUUAUGCUUUUUGUUACAGGCCACGAAAUUCAAGAAGAAAAACUGGGAAUAUGUACUCCACGUAGUAUUUGUACUGAUCAAUCUGCUAUUAUAUUACAAGGCAGAACCGAUACUCACAUAAUUGCCGGAACUACAGCUCAUUUGUUAGGACAUACCCUAGGAAUAAACCAUGAUUCAGCUGACUGUAUUUGCGAAGAUUGGUGGAGGGGAUGCAUUAUGGAAGAAACAUUAACAAAUAGUACCAGAUCCCAUUUUUCUUCAUGCAAUCUUGAAACGUACCUUAAUAUUUUACAGAAUAACGAAGCCAUCUGCCUUUUCAAUAAGCCAUAUCCGUUAGAAAAUAUUCCAUUUUGUGGCAAUGGAAUCAUAGAAACUGAUGAAGAUUGUGACUGCGGUAGCAUUCAAGAUUGUUUGGAUAACGAGCCAUGUUGCAAUCCUAUUACCUGUAAGUUAAAGCAUGGAGCUGAAUGUUCUCUUGGAGAAUGUUGCUAUAAUUGCAAAUUAAAGCCAAAAGGGCACCUUUGUCGGAAAUCCGUCUCGGAAUGCGACAUACCAGAAUAUUGUGAUGGAGUUCAUGGAAAAUGUCCCACAGAUAUUUAUCAAAAAAAUGGAAAAUUAUGUGGAGAUGGUGAGAAUUACUGUUAUCUGGGAACGUGUCCUUCACCACGAUCUUUAUGCGAACACAUAUGGGGAUACAAUUCUUAUCCUGCCGAUGACAUAUGUUUUGACCGUCUAAAUGUUCAAGGAGGACUUGGUGGACAUUGUGGAAGAGAUGGACAUGGAGGAUACAAGAAAUGUCUACCAGAGAAUGUAAAAUGUGGAGCACUUCAAUGCCAGAAAGGACUUUAUAAUAAACCUUUAAUGGAGCCAGAUACUGAAUUUACUUCUGCAGAAUUUACAAAUAAUGGAAGCAUUUCCAAAUAUUAAUGCAAGGGAAUGAAAGUACAGACAUAUGGACUAUAGUGCCGGAAGGGUCAAAAUGUGGCGAAAAUAAGGUUUGCAUUAAUGGAAACUGCACCAAAUUAGAUGAUGUUGUUGACAAGUGUCCAUCAG